CCUACGGGUGGCAGCAGUGGGGAAUAUUGGACAAUGGGGGGAACCCUGAUCCAGCGAUGCCGCGUGAGUGAAGAAGUUCUUCGGUUUGUAAAGCUCUAUCAGCAGGGAAGAAAGAAAUGACGGUACCUGACUAAUAAGCUCCGGCUAACUACGUGCCAGCAGCCGCGGUAAUACGUAGGGGGCAAGCGUUAUUCGGAUUUACUGGGCGUAAAGGGGGCGUAGACGGUUAUGCAAGUCUGGAGUGAAAGGCGAGGGCCCAACCCCGGGGCUGUUUUGAAAACUGUAAAACUGGAGUGCAGGAGAGGUAAGUGGAAUUCCUAGUGUAGCGGUGAAAUGCGUAGAUAUUAGGAGGAACACCAGAGGCGAAGGCGGCUAACUGGACUGUAACUGACGUUGAGGCUCGAAAGCGUGGGGAGCAAACAGGAUUAGAUACCCCUGUAGUC
rnacentral:rRNA from 1 species